CGUACCCGCAUUGGUGAGACUAUGUCCAAUGGCAUUAACGGCAGCCGAGUGAACAGCGUUGGUGGCAGCGUUCGCGACAUGUUUUAGAACACUUAUCACCAUCAUACCCGUGAAUACGGAUCACUGCGUUUGCCGCCGUUUGAAUCGUAGAAUCCGCUGAUGGAUUGACAAUCGAAGCAGUGACAUUUCCCGUAGCAGAAGUUAUUGUUCGAAGCGGACACGCUGGAGCGUUUGUCACAUUCAUAGACCAAGAACUGCAUGUAUCGCAACCUUCGGCGGACCGCGUUAAUAAACGGCAACAUGACCAACGUUUUCCACUCCACAAGCCCACGUGAUAACGAUCGCUUAAACCUGGAUUUUCACAGCAUACUGAAGCAAAACAAAAUGAAGAGUUAAUUCGACUAUUAUUUCCCUUAGACUCGUAGUAUAAUGUAAUGCGAUGUACGUAACACGAAACAAUGUAACAUGAAACAAGUGAAUAUUUACCAGCGCGGAUAGCACGUAUCCAUUCCGAUCGAUCUUGCUCCCUAGCAGCAAGAAGGUAAAGAGUGUACUCUUGUCCAGCUUCUCGAUAUCCUAUCUGGAAUGGUAGUCCUGGUGGUACGUUACCUCCGCUACUACCUAAGUCAUUA